AAAAGCUAAUUUAAUAAAAAUUUCUAGUUUCGACCUAGCCUAUUUUGGAUAACAACCAAAGCUUUUA
rnacentral:tRNA from 1 species